GCUGGGCAUGGUAGCGCAUGCCUGUAAUCCCAGCUACUUCGGAGGCUGAGGCAGGAGGAUCGCAUGAACCCGGGAGGCGGAGGUUGCAGUGAGCCAAGAUCACGCCACUGCACUCCAGCCUGGGCAACAGAGCGAGACUCUGUCUCAA
ensembl:misc_RNA Metazoa_SRP Metazoan signal recognition particle RNA